AUGUUCCUCAGCUCCCAACUGAAGAAGGACUGAGGGGAAAAUGGAUGAGGAUUCUUUUGUCCAAAGCCUCCACGCCAAUUUCUCGUAAAAGCAGAGAGUCAGAUGUUGUCAGUCUAUCAGAGGCAGCCCGACUUCACAUCCUGAGGAGAGCACAUCUUUGAGGGAAUACUGCCAAAGGAAGAUGAGACACGUUAAGGAGCUGCAGCAUACAAGUCCCCUGGGAUGUCAGACACAAGGUUGGGGGAGAGAAAGCAGCCAGAAGCUGACAGGAGUGCUUCCUGAUUGCUGUUUGCCCCAGCAGUUCAUCACCACACUGAAGCUGAAGAGUUUUGCUGAACAACUAAAACAGGCUGCAGAGGCUGAUGUGCAAGACCCCUCCUGGUGCAGCGUGUGUGUAGAUCAGCAGGCCAGGCUGGCCCUUCACAACUUCCUGCGGGUCACAGGAACACAGCUGGACACGCAUCUCUACAAGAAUAACUUGAUCAGUCUUGCAGGAGAACUAUCAAGGAACUUUCCCAAAGCUUCUGAUGGACAGGCAGGAUCUUGAGAACUUUGGCAAAGAAUAAAUUUGACAGGUGAAGAACA
rnacentral:lncRNA from 1 species